AGAUUGACUUCUCAGACCAGUGGUGCUUCCCUCCUCCUGUCUGUUAACGUGUCCCCAACACGACUGGCGCGGUCUAAACCUCCCCGCUCCGCCGCCUCCAUCAUCAGUUGAUACAUUGUGUGCACGGUGCGGUCUCGCUCUCCGCCAGCACGGGGGUCGCAGUGUGACCGGGUCCCUCUGUCUGGGCUGCAGGGUUCUGGGAGCCCAGAGGACACAAGUCCCUGGUGGGCCUCGUGGACCGGCUGGUGGGGAGCUAGCGCCCCCUUGUGAGGCUGGGGCAGAACUGUCGUCCCCCAGGGGAAUUGCUGGGUGUCCCCCUGCCACUUCAUCCCAAGCUGUGGGACAGGCAGGUUGUUCUGGUCAGAGGAAGGGGUGGCACAGGCAGUGCUGUUCAGUAAGCUCAGACUGACCGGAACACAGCCACUCUUUAGUUUUCCUGUUGCAAUGGAGACCACAUGGCGCAGAGGGCCCAACAGAGUCAGUAUCGGGCCCUCUACAGGAAACGUUUGCAGGCCCUGGAUUAAGGAUGGGGAGCGCUGGGUGCACCUGCGAUCCCGCGAAGGUCCCCAUGGACGGAGCCAGGUGCUCGGGCAGGUGCCUGUGGAUGUGAGGAGUCAGUGAAACCGGAAGGACCGGUUAGGGACAGAUGCCAGGCCUCAGGCGGGGGUAGGGGGUGUCAGGUCUCCAGGGUUACGGGGCUCAGAGCAGGCACCCCAGAAAGAGGGAGGGGAAGGGGAAGUCCCUUCUCUGUUAUGUUCAGACAGCAGACCCUGCAUCGCCCAGGAAGGUCUUUCCUGCCAGGGUCUUGGGGGACCUCUGGGGCACCGAGUCACACUUGGCUACUCCGUGGGGUGGAGACUGUGCCCCAGGGCAGCCCCAGGGUGAAGGAGGCUGUGCCCCAACUUGAGAUGAAGGGGCUAGUGGACUUCAUGGCCCUUAAACACACGGUCCCCGCAGAGUGGAGCUGGAGUUCACGUUCAUUUUCAUUCCUGUCCUUCCCCAGCAUGCUCCCCACGGCUGCUGCACGCAUCUGCCUGCUGCCUCCUGCCCCUGCAUGCGCCCCAGCCAGCUCACGUGGCACUGCAUGGGGCCCCGUGACUCGCACACCUCUUGCAGCUGCUUCUGUCCCUCUCGUGGUGAUGCUUGGGGUUGCAGAGGCUGGCGAGUUUGGCUCUGUCUCUCCAUCUACAGCUGGGUAGUUCCCGUGUGGCCCCGGGAGAGCCGGCGGGUGCAAGCUCGUUCUGGUCCCAGCUCGUCCCAGCUCGGUCUAGGAAACUGCCCUGGAAUUCUAGUAUGAAAAAGAACACGUAUAUUAUCGUCAAAUCACUAAAGCCACAGGAGCCAAAAACACGCGUGACUCUGACCUCCAGAAGAGGGCGCUGGAGGGACAAAAUUGAGGGCCUGCGUUCCCUGGAAGAGACUGCGAGCUUCUGGGUGUCAUUUAGAAAAGAACCGAAGAAUAAUGAAGUUAUCAUUAGCCUCCUGCUAAAGGCUUUUCCUUUUGGCAUCUAAAAAGCUUGAGAGAUAAAAUGGAAAUCCCCAGAGCGGAGCCAUGCAGGCUCCCGGGUGCCUCUGGCCUGCACAAAUGUGCUGGGACCCAGCCCCUCCAUCAGGACCUGUCCCUCAGCGGGGAAGGUGCUGGGAGCGCCUUGGCCCCCCGGGGUAGAGAUGCUCCCCCCUGUUGGUGUGCAUUGCUUGGUUAAGCAAGGGUUUCGUAGACUUGGAUUUGUCUUAUCACCGUACCCUGCUUUCCCCUCGCCCUUCACACCUGUGCUAUCACCAAUGGCAGCCACCUUGUCAUUUUAAAACCAGCAGAGCUUCAUCCCCGCCCCGCCUUUUCCUUCACUGGAGCCAAAUUGUGAAAGACUCUGAGGCCUGCCAGACCAACGAGGCAAAGCUCCUGUGCUGGCUACCUGGCUCAGGGAUGGUGGACGUCCUCCUUUCCCUGGGGGCCCACUUCCCUCUUUCCAUCUGGGGGGCUCGGGUGUUGGGGGUGAGAGAGGAGAGUCGCAGCGGCAGCAGUCCUAUUACUGGCCCCACAGCGGGGAACCAGCGCCAGCUAUCGAUUUGUGUGGCCCUUAGACUUCAUUUAGAGGAGGCUUGAAUCCGCCCCUCUUGUGGCUUGAGAGGCCUUUUCACUGACGGCUCUUCCCAGCGCAGCCGAACCUCCACCUCCGCUUUGGCAGAAGCAAUAAGACUAGUUUGCUUGAAAUAGGUUUCUUGACGAUUAUGCCUUUUCCUAGAAGGUUUCGUAGGUAAGUUAGAAUUUCACCAGAUAAACGAGGUCAGCCCCAGACCCGUUUCUUGGAAUUUUAUAUCGGACAAUAUUUAUACUAUACCAGCCUAAUCUGCAGUUUUUAGAUGCGUUGGUUAAAACAGAUUUUUUUUAAAGCAGUAAGUUUAUAGAAAAAUUUGUUCCAUUUAAUGGAAGGCCGGGAUGCCACCCCCUGGGCCAUGUUACAUUCCCAGCCACCUUCUCUGGUCCUAAAAUCAGGUUCAGAGGUGUAGUGCAGAAAGGGCACCGUGUGCAAGCCUCAUCGAGCCACGGGACGAGUAGAUCUACCCUGGUUAGCACACGUGUCCCCACGCAGCAAUAACAGCAGCCUCAUCCAGGCUGGGAUCUUACUGAUACAGUAAGUAGGUGACUCCCUCCAGGGUAGUUCCCUAACUAGUUAGUUGUCUGGAAUCCUGAACGUGGCUUGUAGGCACCAAGCCUCAUCAUGUACUCCCGAUGGCUUGGAUCUGUGUGUUCAGCCUUUGUUCAGCCCAAUAAACUUUGAGUAGAUGACC